rnacentral:tRNA from 1 species
GAGUUUUUAGUUUAAUAGGAUAAAACAUCAAUCUUCUAAAUUGAAUAUGAGGGUUCGAGUCCCUUAAAACACAC